AGCGAACGCUGGCGGCAGGCCUAAAACAUGCAAGUCGAACGCCGUAGCAAUACGGAGUGGCAGACGGGUGAGUAACACGUGGGAACGUACCCUUUGGUUCGGAACAACACAGGGAAACUUGUGCUAAUACCGGAUAAGCCCUUACGGGGAAAGAUUUAUCGCCAGAGGAUCGGCCCGCGUCUGAUUAGCUUGUUGGUGAGGUAACGGCUCACCAAGGCUACGAUCAGUAGCUGGUCUGAGAGGAUGAUCAGCCACACUGGGACUGAGACACGGCCCAGACUCCUACGGGAGGCAGCAGUUAGGAAUCUUGGACAAUGGGCGCAAGCCUGAUCCAGCCAUGCCGCGUGAGUGAUGAAGGCCUUAGGGUUGUAAAGCUCUUUCAGCGGGGAAGAUAAUGACGGUACCCGCAGAAGAAGCCCCGGCUAACUUCGUGCCAGCAGCCGCGGU
rnacentral:rRNA from 1 species